rnacentral:rRNA from 1 species
GUGGGGAAUAUUGCACAAUGGGCGAAAGCCUGAUGCAGCAACGCCGCGUGUGGGACGACGGCCUUCGGGUUGUAAACCUCUUUUAGUAGGGAAGAAGCGAAAGUGACGGUACCUGCAGAAAAAGCACCGGCUAACUACGUGCCAGCAGCCGCGGUAAUACGUAGGGUGCAAGCGUUAUCCGGAAUUAUUGGGCGUAAAGAGCUCGUAGGCGGUCUGUCGCGUCUGCUGUGAAAACUGGAGGCUCAACCUCCAGCCUGCAGUGGGUACGGGCAGACUAGAGUGCGGUAGGGGAGAUUGGAAUUCCUGGUGUAGCGGUGGAAUGCGCAGAUAUCAGGAGGAACACCGAUGGCGAAGGCAGAUCUCUGGGCCGUAACUGACGCUGAGGAGCGAAAGCGUGGGGAGCGAACAGGAUUAGAUACCCCGGUAGUCC